AUACGGCCCAGACUCCUACGGGAGGCAGCAGUGGGGAAUAUUGCACAAUGGGCGAAAGCCUGAUGCAGCGACGCCGCGUGAGGGAUGGAGGCCUUCGGGUUGUAAACCUCUUUCGCUCAUGGUCAAGCCGCGACUUUGGUUGUGGUGAGGGUAGUGGGUAAAGAAGCGCCGGCUAACUACGUGCCAGCAGCCGCGGUAAUACGUAGGGCGCGAGCGUUGUCCGGAAUUAUUGGGCGUAAAGAGCUUGUAGGCGGUUUGUCGCGUCUGCUGUGAAAGGCCGGGGCUUAACCCCGUGUAUUGCAGUGGGUACGGGCAGACUAGAGUGCAGUAGGGGAGACUGGAACUCCUGGUGUAGCGGUGGAAUGCGCAGAUAUCAGGAAGAACACCGGUGGCGAAGGCGGGUCUCUGGGCCGUUACUGACGCUGAGGAGCGAAAGCGUGGGGAGCGAACAGGAUUAGAUACCCUGGUAGUCCACGCCGUAAACGUUGGGCACUAGGUGUGGGGGGCCUUUUCCGGGUUUUCCGCGCCGUAGCUAACGCAUUAAGUGCCCCGCCUGGGGAGUACGGCCGCAAGGCUAAAACUCAAAGAAAUUGACGGGGGCCCGCACAAGCGGCGGAGCAUGCGGAUUAAUUCGAUGCAACGCGAAGAACCUUACCAAGGCUUGACAUAUACUGGACCGCAUCAGAGAUGGUGUUUCCCUUCGGGGCUGGUAUACAGGUGGUGCAUGGUUGUCGUCAGCUCGUGUCGUGAGAUGUUGGGUUAAGUCCCGCAACGAGCGCAACCCUUGUCUCGUGUUGCCAGCACGUUGUGGUGGGGACUCGCGGGAGACUGCCGGGGUCAACUCGGAGGAAGGUGGGGAUGACGUCAAAUCAUCAUGCCCCUUAUGUCUUGGGCUUCACGCAUGCUACAAUGGCCGGUACAGAGGGUUGCGAUGCCGUGAGGCGGGGCGAAUCCCUUAAAGCCGGUCUCAGUUCGGAUCGGUGUCUGCAACUCGACACCGUGAAGUUGGAGUCGCUAGUAAUCGCAGAUCAGCAACGCUGCGGUGAAUACGUUCUCGGGCCUUGUACACACCGCCCGUCACGUCACGAAAGUUGGUAACACCCGAAGCCCAUGGCCUAACCGCGUUUGUGGGGGGAGUGGUCGAAGGUGGGAUUGGCGAUUGGGACGAAGUCGUAACAAGGUAGCCGUACCGGAAGGUGCGGCUG
rnacentral:rRNA from 1 species